UACGUAGGUGGCAAGCGUUAUCCGGAAUUACUGGGCGUAAAGGGUCCGUAGGUGGGUAUUUAAGUCUGGUGUGACAACGCUCGGCUUAACUGAGCGAGUGCAUUGGAAACUGAAAGCCUUGAGUCACAGAGAGGGAUGCAGAAUUCCGGGUGUAGUGGUGGAAUGCGUAGAGAUCCGGAGGAAUACCAGAGGCGCAAGCGGCAUCCUGGCUGAGGACUGACACUGAGGCACGAAAGCGUGGGGAGCAAACAGG
rnacentral:rRNA from 1 species